rnacentral:rRNA from 1 species
AUUGAACGCUGGCGGCAGGCCUAACACAUGCAAGUCGAGCGGAUGAAGGGAGCUUGCUCCUGGAUUCAGCGGCGGACGGGUGAGUAAUGCCUAGGAAUCUGCCUGGUAGUGGGGGAUAACGUCCGGAAACGGGCGCUAAUACCGCAUACGUCCUGAGGGAGAAAGUGGGGGAUCUUCGGACCUCACGCUAUCAGAUGAGCCUAGGUCGGAUUAGCUAGUUGGUGGGGUAACGGCCUACCAAGGCGACGAUCCGUAACUGGUCUGAGAGGAUGAUCAGUCACACUGGAACUGAGACACGGUCCAGACUCCUACGGUAGGCAGCAGUGGGGAAUAUUGGACAAUGGGCGAAAGCCUGAUCCAGCCAUGCCGCGUGUGUGAAGAAGGUCUUCGGAUUGUAAAGCACUUUAAGUUGGGAGGAAGGGCAGUAAGUUAAUACCUUGCUGUUUUGACGUUACCAACAGAAUAAGCACCGGCUAACUUCGUG